AGCUCCAAUAGCGUAUAUUAAAGUUGUUGCAGUUAAAAAGCUCGUAGUUGAACCUUGGACAAAGUGCGCGUGGUCUACCGCAAGGUAUGACUGCGGCGCUGCGUCUCUUUAGGGGGACUCGAUGCUUCGGUGUCGAGGUAACCCGUGUUACUGUGAAGAAAUUAGAGUGUUUAAAGCAGGCUAUCGCUUGAAUACAUCAGCAUGGAAUAACAAGUUGGACUUUGCUCCUACUUGUUGGUUUGAGGGGAAAAGUAAUGAUUAAUAGGGCCAGUUGGGGGCAUUAGUAUUCAGUAGUCAGAGGUGAAAUUCUUGGAUUUACUGAAGACUAACUAGUGCGAAAGCAUUUGCCAAGGAUGUUUUCA
rnacentral:rRNA from 1 species